UGGGCUAAAAUAAAGGGAUGGGUUGGG
rnacentral:piRNA from 1 species